GAGAUGCUUUCCUUUAUCAAUCAAAAAGGGCCGUUCACAGAAGGCAUCUUCAGAGAACCAGCCAGUAUAAAAUCCUGCAUAGCCUUAAAGAAGAAACUCAAUGCUGGACACAACGUGAACUUGGAUGAUGAAUCCGUUCUCGUAGUAUCGUCGGUCUUAAAGGAUUUUCUUCAAAAUAUCCAAGGAAGUGUAUUUUCAGCCCAUCUCUAUGAUAAAUGGCUUGAUGUUAUUGAUCAAGGGAAUGAGGAGGAGAAAAUAACUGCGACCCAGAGGCUUGUAGACCAGCUACCAAGAGCCAAUGUAGUGUUUUUGAGAUACCUUUUUGGAGUGUUACACAACAUUGAGCAACAUUCUUCAUCCAAUCAGAUGACACCUUAUGAUUUAUCCGUGUGUCUCACCCCAAGCAUCCUUUGUCUGCUUAAUUCUGGCAGCUCAGCAUUUGAAAACUUCACCAAAAAGGUUUCUCUGAUAAAAUUCCUCAUUGAAAACUGUCUCAAGAUAUUUGGAGAAGAUAUCACUUCUCUCUUUGGAGAGAACUCAGUGAGUUGUGAUAACAGUGAUAUCACUGAUAACAGUGAGAUUUCAGACAAGAAGACAGUUAAUAAGAGUUCUGUCAAAAACUCGGCCUUUUGGUGUAGCUCCAGGACUCGCGAGGACAACCAAGACCCACUCUACCACCCAGAAAGCAAAAACAGCUCUUUGGGCUCCUCUUGA
rnacentral:lncRNA from 1 species